rnacentral:rRNA from 1 species
UGCGGCAAUAACAGGUCUGUGAUGCCCUCAGAUGUCCCGGGCCGCACACGUGCUACAUUGAUUAGCGCAGUGCGCAUACUUUCAAUAUGAUACAUUGGUUUUGGUAGUAAGCUAUUCAUCUGAUGGAUAUGCUACUCUCCAUACCAAUACUAUCUAGUCUGAAAAGACUGGGUAAUCUAUUGUAAGUGCUGGUUCCUCUUCCCGUUGAGCAUUUUAAUAAUGGUCUCUCUACGUCCCUAGUAUAUUCUAGUGCGAUUGUAGUUGAGUCUGCCAUUUAUGCAAGUGUCAAUUCUCAGUGGGGACAGACAUUUGAUAAUUCUUUGUCUCGUUCUUAACUAGGAAUGCCUUGUACGGGUCUUGGUUCAACAGACCACCCGGAAUACGUCCCUGCCCUUUGUACACACCGCCCGUCGCUCUUAC